ACUCAAAGGAAUUGACGGGGGCCCGCACAAGCAGCGGAGCAUGUGGUUUAAUUCGAAGCAACGCGAAGAACCUUACCAAGGCUUGACAUCCUCUGACGCGCGUAGAGAUACGCGUUUCCCUUCGGGGACAGGGAGACAGGUGGUGCAUGGUUGUCGUCAGCUCGUGUCGUGAGAUGUUGGGUUAAGUCCCGCAACGAGCGCAACCCUUAUCAUUAGUUGCCAGCGAGUAAAGUCGGGAACUCUAAUGAGACUGCCGAGGACAACUCGGAGGAAGGUGGGGAUGAUGUCAAAUCAGCAUGCCCUUUAUGUCUUGGGCUACACACGUGCUACAAUGGCCGGUACAAAGAGGAGCGAGCCUGUGAAGGUGAGCGAAUCUCAAAAAGCCGGUCUCAGUUCAGAUUGUGGGCUGCAACCCGCCCACAUGAAGUCGGAGUUGCUAGUAAUCGCGAAUCAGCAUGUCGCGGUGAAUGCGUUCCCGGGCCUUGUACACACCGCCCGU
rnacentral:rRNA from 1 species